rnacentral:rRNA from 1 species
GGGCCCGCACAAGCGGAGGAACAUGUGGUUUAAUUCGAUGAUACGCGAGGAACCUUACCCGGGCUCGAACGGCAGUGGAAUGUUUGUGAAAGCAAACAGCCAGCAAUGGUCUCUGUCGAGGUGCUGCAUGGUUGUCGUCAGCUCGUGCCGUGAGGUGUCGGCUUAAGUGCCAUAACGAGCGCAACCCUUAUCGAUAGUUGCCAGCGGGUAAAGCCGGGGACUCUAUUGAGACUGCCACCGUAAGGUGAGAGGAAGGGGGGAUGACGUCAAAUCAGCACGGCCCUUACGUCCGGGGCGACACACGUGUUACAAUGGUAGGUACAGAGGGCAGCUAUUAUGUGAAUAAAUGCCAAUCUCGAAAACCUAUCUCAGUUCGGAUUGGAGUCUGCAACUCGACUCCAUGAAGUUGGAUUCGCUAGUAAUCGCGCAUCAGCCAUGGCG